UAUCUUGUAAUACUAAUGAAAUUUUAUUUGAUUUUCUAUUUUAUCAAGAAACAAAAACUACUACUAUCAUUUAUUUAUUUUUCUCAGAAACAUCAACAACAUGAACCACAAACAAACCAAAAAUACCAUGAUCAAUUAUUUAAUAUAGAUUUGACGAUCUUUUCUACAAAACAAUACAUAAUACAUUGUUUCUUAACUAGAGUGAGUAUACUGGGACAUACAUUUUAAUCUAUCAUAACAGUCAUUGGCAAUGAGUAUAAUUUUGUAAGGGUUCUUGGUCUCUCAAUUCCACGUCUAUGUUUCUUCCGAUUUUUGUUUCUUAUAAUUUCACGUUUCUGUUCAUGGUCUUCCUCAUACACAAGCUGAAAUUGACUUGUAGUUAUUUGUUUAAAUUUUCAGAGAUCCAUCACAAAUCACCAACGUUGCAAGCUAAGUUCGUUUACUUUAAAUUUGGCAUGAACCAUGGCUAGUCUGACUCUAAAGAAAUGAUAGAUGAGAUGUUACUACUUUCAUACGAUCUGAGUCUUGCUUCAGAAUACAACUUUGAUCUUGGUUUAUCAGACCAAUAUGGUGCACAACCACCAAGUGGUAGGUGUUAGGCUACCCGUGAAAAUAGGUUAUUGGUGGGUCACUAUUUCCAAGUUAAUCCUAUGUCAAGUAUGAUAAUCCAGGAUUUAAGUAGAAUUUGAGAGUUAUACAAUUUUCCUGCUUUGGUUAUACUUAGGGUUCCUGGAAAUUAUGAGAGAGAUGACAGUCCAUGCCCAAACAAGAUUAUAGUCUACGAGACUUAUUUUUCCUCAUGUUUAUGGGAAGCUAUACCUUCUCUGAUUGUUGAAGUUGUUAGCUUCUUCAACAUUUCCCCUAGACAAUUUAAUCUUUCAGCUUGAAGGAUGUUAACUUCUAUCCAAGUUUUUGGUGAAUUACAUUCUCACGAGUUGGAUGAAAUAACUUUUUUAUGCCCAUUAUUUUAGAUCUCAUAAUGUCUUAACAAAAAAUUUAAGAUAUGCAUGGAGUUGAUUUUUUUUAUAUACAUUAUAAAUGUUUUUUAUUUAAAUAAUAUGUUUAUAAAAGAAACAAAGAAUUAUUUAUUUGCGUGGAUAUUCAUUUAGUUCAGAAAAAUAUUAUUAGUUACGAACUUCAUUAUAUAAAGUUCAUAUAAUGAAAUCUCAAAUCAUAUGUUUAUUAAUAACUAUGACUAAUGUAAUUUUUUUCUUUAAAAAAUAUAUAUAUCAAUACAAUACUAAAAGUUGAAUAAGAUCAACAAAGAGGGUGUCCACGUCAGAUCAAAAAAUCAACCAAUCAGAAAGUAGUAUACCGCCACGUCAUGCUGCAGUCAAACAUAAUCAUAUCGGUCCUAUUUAUUUGGGCUUAUAAUAAUCUUCCGAUACAGUUCAUCUAUCCUCCAAAAAAGAAAGCAAUCGUUCUCCAACUUUUGCACUUCUCCAUUAUCGUUCCAAAUCUCUAAAAUUUCGCCGUUUCUGACUCACUCAUUAUACCUGUGUCAUCCUUCCCCCUCCGUUUGUUUCUCUUCCUAUAUAAAUCCUUUCGUCGUAAUCUUUCGUCCAACAAAAAAUCUACAACCUCCAUAGAAGAACAUCAAGCUAUGGCCAUGAAAGCUGUUAAAUCCUUCAGAAAGUUUUCCGUUUGGGCUCCUCCGUCUAUAGAUCCUUCUGAUCGGGUGUGUCCUAUCCUUUUUAUAUUUUUAGGUUUCAGUUCUAUGGAGAUAUAUUUUUUUUUUUUUGGUAAUCUCUAUGGAGAUAUUUAUUUGAUAAUAAUCAUCAAUCAUUGUAGAAUUGUGAGAUUUGAAUAUGCAUUGACUGGAAUCAUAGAUGUUUUUUUCACAGAGAAACUCUCAGGAAAGUUUAAGAGUUAUUGGAUUGAACCAUUUUGAUUCAAAACAAAAUUCAACUAAACCUCAAUACUUUUAUAAAUGUUUCUCCGAUAAAUAAAAGAGGAGGUGGAAGACAAGAUUAAGAAGCUUGAGGUUGAGAUAUAUGCAAAUACAAAAACAAGACCUGGUACUUCUCUAGAAGCUGUCGAAGCCCGUGUGAUGAGGGUUCUGAAGCAGAACAAAAUGUCUUUCAAUUCGGUGGCCUGGAAUUCUAACGGGAAAAGCUUGCUUCUGGCUCUGUUGAUCAAAUGGGUCAUAUUUGGAAAGUCAAACCUCACGCUUAGGUAGUUUUUUUGCCUUUUUGCUGGAUAUGUUUCAGUCUUCUGUCAUUCUACAAGAAAAUUUUUAUAGGUUUUAUUUGUUUUGAAUCUAAUGAGACUUCCUUUCCUACAGAUUUCCCUUCUGAUGUUUCGUAUUACUGUACUUUCCAAGGACAGAGAUGCAAUAGGCACAUAGAUUGAGGUGAAAGAAGUUGGUGUGGCAAAGUGAUGCAGAAUGGUGAAAUAAACUACCAUUAUGAAACUGAGAAUCACACUUUACAAAGUAGAAAUAAAAUCUUCUACUCACAGGCUUCGAUUCUCAUCAUGUUACAGUGGGAACUUUUAUUCCAGCGGAGUCUAUGAGUUAUGAUCAGUGUUUACAUGCUGGAAAUGAAAGAAAGUAUUGACUCCAGAGGUAUGUCUAUGAAGUUUCCUUCCGCUUUCACGGUUGGCAUCUACAGAUAAAAAAGAGAAGAAGCAGAAGGCCAAAAGUUCCUAGAAUUCCAGAUUAUCAGCUACAUCCUCAAAUGUUCACAGUCUAGCUGAUUCCUACAAUGAGAAAUGUUGGAGCUUAAUUCUUCCCAUGACAGAUUCAGUUUCUAUGUGCUGAGCAAUGAAUCAGGUGACAUACAUAUCUUAAAACUCUUAAUUGUCCUAUUUCCUGGCAAUUGUUUCACUGAUGCACUGAGCGAUGAAUCAGGUGGAGUUGAAUAUUGAGUUUAUGCAAAUGAAGAUAGAGAUGAAGCUGCUUUCUUUCCAAACGAUCAACAGUCGAUAGAAACGUUUCUUCAGCAAAACAAGACUGCUCUGUAUACAAAAUUCUAUCAAAGCAUCAUAGGCAAAGCUCUUGGAAAAAAAAGAGCUGAGACAGGUGUGAGAAUAAUUAUAAUAAAGUUUGUGGUUUUUCAACUCAGUUUGUAAGGUUGGAGAGACCGUAGCGGUUAGAAUUCUCAAAUUUUGUAAAUUAUUUUUGUUCCAUGAAUUAUUCUCGAAAUCAUACAAAACAUAUGAAUUAUAUGUUCUUCAAAUUAAAAAAAUUAUGGUAGAAAAUAAACACAAUAGCUAAAUAAAUUCAUGGAACUUGAGACCUCUGCCAGGCAAGCCCUCGAGGUAAUUUUGAUUUCACCUUUCUAAAAAUAAUUUGUAGAUGUAAUAAAAGUUCAAGUGGAUUAUAGUUUGGGGACGGUGUUAACUAUCUUAUAUCUCGGUGCUGUUAUCUUAUAUCUCUAUCACUAUGCUUUUCUUCAGGUCAUUUAGUACCAUGUUUGAGUAAGUAGACUUGAUUUUCCGGAAAUGAUGGCCGAGCACAUAAGCUAUCUAACAAAAAUAAAAGAAACCACAGAGACUAUGAAAAAAUGUAUUAAUAUAUAUAAUUAUUUUUAUAAGUAAAAUCUGAUUACUUAGAUUAUAAAAAAAAAAUGAAUUUAACAUCAAAUCAACUGUAACAAAAUA